UCAUGGCUCAGGACGAACGCUGGCGGCGUGCUUAACACAUGCAAGUCGAGCGAGAAAGCACCUUCGGGUGUGAGUACAGCGGCGAACGGGUGAGUAACACGUGGGCAACCUGCCCCAGAGACUGGGAUAACGUCCCGAAAGGGACGCUAAUACCGGAUGACGCGCGAUCUGCCAAGUAGGUCGCGCCAAAUGGUAGCUUCGGCUUCUGCUCUGGGAUGGGCCCGCGCCGGAUCAGCUUGUUGGUGAGGUAACGGCUCACCAAGGCGACGAUCCGUAGCUGGUCUGAGAGGACGAUCAGCCACACUGGGACUGAGACACGGCCCAGACUCCUACGGGAGGCAGCAGUGGGGAAUCUUGCGCAAUGGGCGAAAGCCUGACGCAGCAACGCCGCGUGAGCGAAGACGGCCUUCGGGUUGUAAAGCUCUGUCAGGAGGGACGAAGCCACUCAGGUGAAUAGCCGAGAGGGUACGGGUACCCCAGUAGGAAGCCCCCGGGCUAAAUACAGU
rnacentral:rRNA from 1 species